rnacentral:misc_RNA from 1 species
UCCCCGUUACCGGGGCAGUCUGGCCAGAAAGAUUCAACUGACCAUAAGGGUUGCGCUCGUUAAUGGGCUUAACCAAACAUCUCACGACACGAGCUGACGACGGCCAUGCAUCACCUGUCACUGCGGCCCGUAGGCACACUUUCCUUUCGGAAAGCUUGGCAGGAUGUCAAGCCUGGGUAAGGUUCUUCGUUUACCGUCGAAUUAAACAACACGCUCCACCGCUUGUGCGGGUCCCCGUCAAUUCCUUUAUGUUUUAAGCUUGCGCUCGUACUCCACAGGCGGCUUGCUUAACGCGUUAGCUUCGCUACUACCAGGGUCGAUACUGAUAACAGCUAGCAAGCAUAGUUUACGGCGUGGACUAC